rnacentral:rRNA from 1 species
GACGAACGCUGGCGGCGUGCCUAAUACAUGCAAGUCGAGCGGACGAAUCGAAAGCUUGCUUUUGAUUCGUUAGCGGCGGACGGGUGAGUAACACGUGGGCAACCUGCCCUGUAGACGGGGAUAACACCGAGAAAUCGGUGCUAAUACCGGAUAACACGAAAUGUCGCAUGACGUUUCGUUGAAAGACGGCGCAAGCUGCCGCUACAGGAUGGGCCCGCGGCGCAUUAGCUAGUUGGUGAGGUAACGGCUCACCAAGGCGACGAUACGUAGCCGACCUGAGAGGGUGAUCGGCCACACUGGGACUGAGACACGGCCCAGACUCCUACGGGAGGCAGCAGUAGGGAAUCUUCCGCAAUGGACGAAAGUCUGACGGAGCAACGACGCGUGAGCGAAGAAGGCCUUCGGGUCGUAAAGCUCUGUUGUUAGGGAAGAACAAGUAACGCAGUAACUGGCGUUAACGUGACGGUACCUAACGAGAAAGCCACGGCUAACUACGUG